rnacentral:tRNA from 1 species
GCCUGGCUGGCUUAGUCAGUAGAGCAUGUGACUCUUGAUCUUGGGGUUGUGAGUUCGAACCCCGUGUAGGGUG